GCUUACUCCAAAAUCGGCAAUCUUCACUUCCAUAUUUUUGUUCACGAGAAGAUUUGCUGGUUUGAUAUCUCUAUGAAUGAUCUUGUGGGCAUGGAGGUAGUUAAGUCCGUUGAGAAUCUGACGAGCGAUGUCGGCGAGUGACUUUUCCGUGAAUGUUCCACUCCCACCGUUUUUCAGUAGCGAGUCUAGUGUCCCGGCGUCCAUGUAUUCCAUCAGUAUCGCAAUAUCCCCGUCAGGCUUCUCGAAUAUCUCAUGACAGUGAACCACAAAAGGUGAAUCGGUUCUUCGAAGAAUUUCCAUCUCCCUAAAUAUCUGCCGGCGCAUCAUCGGAUCACUGUCGGCAUGUACAACCUUGAGAGCGAAGACGUUAGACGUUUUCUUAUGC
rnacentral:lncRNA from 1 species